rnacentral:rRNA from 1 species
UGUCGUCAGCUCGUGUCGUGAGAUGUUGGGUUAAGUCCCGCAACGAGCGCAACCCUCGCCAUUAGUUGCCAUCAUUCAGUUGGGCACUCUAGUGGGACCGCCGACGCUAAGUCGGAGGAAGGUGGGGAUGACGUCAAGUCAUCAUGGCCCUUACGGGCUGGGCUACACACGUGCUACAAUGGCGGUGACAGUGGGCAGCGAGGCAGCAAUGCCAAGCUAAUCUCAAAAAGCCGUCUCAGUUCGGAUUGGGGUCUGCAACUCGACCCCA